rnacentral:rRNA from 1 species
AGAACGAACGCUGGCGGCAGGCCUCAAACAUGCAAGUCUAGGGGGUGUAGCAAUACAUCACCGGCGGACGGGUGCGUAACACGUGGGAAUAUACCUUUUGGUUCGGAACAACGCAGGGAAACUUGCGCUAAUACCGAAUGUGCCCUUACGGGGAAAGAUUUAUCGCCAAAGGAUUAGCCCGCGUAGGAUUAGCUAGUUGGUGAGGUAAUGGCUCACCAAGGCUCCGAUCCUUAGCUGUUCUGAGAGGAAGAUCAGCCACACUGGGACUGAGACACGGCCCAGACUCCUACGGGAGGCAGCAGUUGGGAAUCUUGGACAAUGGGGGAAACCCUGAUCCAGCCAUGCCGCGUGAGUGAUGAAGGCCUUCGGGUUGUAAACUCUUUCGACGGGGACGAUAAUGACGGUACCCGUAGAAGAGCUCCGGCUAACUUCGUGCCAGCAGCCGC